rnacentral:rRNA from 1 species
CCUACGGGUGGCAGCAGUGGGGAAUAUUGGGCAAUGGGCGCAAGCCUGACCCAGCAACGCCGCGUGAAGGAAGAAGGCUUUCGGGUUGUAAACUUCUUUUCUGAGGGACGAAGAAAGUGACGGUACCUCAGGAAUAAGCCACGGCUAACUACGGGCCAGCCGCCGCGGUAAUACGUAGGUGGCAAGCGUUAUCCGGAUGUAUUGGGUGUAAAGGGCGUGUAGGCGGGAAAGCAAGUCAGAUGUGAAAACUCAGGGCCCAACCCUGAGACUGCAUUUGAAACUGUUUUUCUUGAGUGCUGGAGAGGCAAUCGGAAUUCCGUGUGUAGCGGUGAAAUGCGUAGAUAUAAGGAGGAACACCAGUGGCGAAGGCGGAUUGCUGGACAGUAACUGACGCUGAGGCGCGAAAGCGUGGGGAGCAAACAGGAUUAGAUACCCUUGUAGUC